GACGAACGCUGGCGGCGCGCUUAACACAUGCAAGUCGAACGGAAAGGCCUGCUUUCCCUUGUGGAUUGCGGGUACUCGAGUGGCGAACGGGUGAGUAACACGUGAGUGAUCUGCCCCCAACUUGGGUAUAAGCCUGGGAAACUGGGUCUAAUUCCCGAUAGGACUGCAGGGUGGUGCCUGUGGUGGAAAACGAUUUUCUAGUGGUUGGGGAUGAGCUCGCGGCCUAUCAGCUUGUUGGUGGGGUAAUGGCCUACCAAGGCGGCGACGGGUAGCCGGCCUGAGAGGGUGGACGGCCACAUUGGGACUGAGAUACGGCCCAGACGCCUACGGGAGGCAGCAGUGGGGAAUAGUGCACAAUGGGCGGAAGCCUGAUGCAGCGACGCCGCGUGGGGGAUGACGGCCUUCGGGUGGUAAACUCCUUUCGACCGCGAGGAAGCCACCUGGUUGGAAGGGUGGUGACGGUAGUGGUAGAAGAAGCACCGGCUAACUACGUG
rnacentral:rRNA from 1 species